rnacentral:rRNA from 1 species
GAGUUUGAUCUUGGCUCAGAACGAACGCUGGCGGCAUGCCUAACACAUGCAAGUCGAACGAACUCUUCGGAGUUAGUGGCGCACGGGUGCGUAACGCGUGGGAAUCUGCCCUUGGGUACGGAAUAACUCAGAGAAAUUUGUGCUAAUACCGUAUAAUGACUUCGGUCCAAAGAUUUAUCGCCCAAGGAUGAGCCCGCGUAAGAUUAGCCAGUUGGUGGGGUAAAGGCCUACCAAGGCUACGAUCUUUAGCUGGUCUGAGAGGAUGAUCAGCCACACUGGGACUGAGACACGGCCCAGACUCCUACGGGAGGCAGCAGUGGGGAGUAUUGGACAAUGGGCGAAAGCCUGAUCCAGCAAUGCCGCGUGAGUGAUGAAGGCCUUAGGGUUGUAAAGCUCUUUUACCCGGGAUGAUAAUGACAGUACCGGGAGAAUAAGCUCCGGCUAACUCCGUGCCAGCCGCCGCGGUAAG